AUUUAAUAGAAACAAACAUGAGCCCAAAAGCCGGACUUUUUUUAAAAAUAAUCAAAAUUUUCAAAAAAAAAAACGAAAAUAAUCCAUUUUUCAAAAAAAAUACCAAAAUAACCAAGUUUGUAGAGGAUGCGAUGAAUUGGCGCACCCCCAUACCAUUAAGAGGAGGCGCCAGAAGCAUUGGCGCACAUGCAUUGGGCCCCAUGAGGAGGCGCCAAUGCCUUUGGCGCCUGAGUGUUGCUUGUGAAAAGAAAACUUAAUUUUGAAGCCAACAGAAAUCA
rnacentral:lncRNA from 1 species